AAAGAUCGGUGAUCCGGGACGGCUGAGGAUCUCCGCGGCGCGGUGCGGAGCUGAGGGAGAGACCGAAGGGCACGUCUGUAGGGAGAGAGCUCAGCCUCGAAGAACAAUAGUAACGGCACCCGAGGCCGCGGUCCGUCGAGACCUGCCAAGCAAGCGUCGAGAGGCGGCGGAGCGGAAAAACCGAGGCGCUGCGGAGGGAACCGCUAAGCCAGAGCACAAACCGACAGUUAGGAACCCGCCCGCCUCAAGGACUUAUUAACAUAACAGAUGCCACUCGCCGGCCCUUGACGUCGCCAGCCAUGGGCAUUAUGUCGACACGUCGUCCUCAGAUGCCCAAAGUGCGAAAUGGAACGAGGAGCCCCAUUUUGCAGAGGAGGCCCCGGAGAAGAAAAGUGACUGCCCCAAGGUCGCCUGGCUGGGAAGGGAUGGAGCGGAUUCAGAAACGGGAUCCCACCUUCUCUAGGAUGAACCUUACCCUUCUAGGAUGCAAAAUGGCCUGCCUUGCCAGAAACUGACCCUAAGCUCUGUAGAGUGGAUAUCUUCCCACAGUCUUCCCCAAGACUGGAGGGGCCUUUGACUACAACCUGUAGUCGGCUGCCCAUCUUCUUUUGCUUGGCUAACUCCUGUGGAUAAGGUCUCCUCCCCCCACAUCCAUUCACACUUUGCACACCACACCUGCGCCCCUCAAUAGAGGCAUUGUCCCCAGGACACAGUAACAUUGACAGAAAAGGAGUCGCAGACACCUCCGAACUGUGCAGAUAUGGAGUACUGCAUUAGCUCAUAUAAUCCCAAGAAAUAGGUAAAUACCUAUUCUUACAAAUGAAGACUCUGGGGUCCAAAGAAGUUUAGCUAUCAUCUACACUAUUAAAAAAAAAUUUUUUUUGAGGCAGCUCAAAGCUGACAGGAGACUUUGCCAAGGUCACAUGACCAACGUGGACAGAGGUAAAAUUAGUGUCCUGUGUCCUGUGUGCUUGAGUUGCAAACGUUAGGACCCAAGUGCAGACUCCAGAAUUCACUCAGGAAAAGUCUGGUGUGCGAGAGGUGUAUACAGUCCCAGCAUUGAGGUGAAGACCAACAGUUCCCUGAGGCUCACUGGUCACAGCCCACUCCAUCUGAUGAGUUCCAGGCCAGUGAGAGACCCUGUCUCCAGAAUAAAAGGUGACAGCACC
rnacentral:lncRNA from 1 species